AUGGACAGGCCUGCUUCAGAUCUUGCAGCUAGAUGUGAGCACCAAUGUGUCUGUGAGAAGUUUGUGUCGUUUGAAUCAGUUGACAGUGGAAGGAGGUAUCUUGCUUGUCCACAAAAGGAAAUACCAAAAUGCAACUAUGUGGAGUGGAUUGACCCUGAAUGGCCUGCCACUCUGAAGAUGAGUUUAGCCAGGGUUUGGGGCAUGUAUGAUGAUGAGAACAAGCUAAGGCUCAGGGAAAGUGUAGUUCUUGCUGAAGAAAAUUUUAGGGUUGUGAAAGAGAAAGAAAAGAUGGAAAAUGAUCUGAGGUUUUUUAAACUAGAUUUUGCUAAGAUGGUGGGUGACAAGGAGCAGGCAAUUACUGAAAUUGGGCAAUGCAAGACUUGCUCUUUCUGA
rnacentral:rRNA from 1 species